AGUCGGUUAAGACACGAAGCUCGUAUGGGAAAAACAUUGGAUAGAGGAUAUCUUGGGGAAAACAGUAAAUGGCCUUGUCAAAUGUCAGUCUAAGGAGGUGCUGUACAUGUAUCGUGAACAAGAGUUGGAGUUUGGAACUUUGGAUCUUGGGACAGGAAAAUGUUCCAAAUUCCAUGACCUGAGAACUGCAUCUCUUAUGUGAUUGAUUCAGCAAUGCUGGCGAACAUGAACAGUAAUCAUAUUAGAAAUCUUUAGUUUUGAAGUGCAAUGAUAUUCAAGAGGAGUUGUGAAGUUGUCUCAUUCUUCCACAGGUUACUGCAGCUUUCUAGGAUCUUCGUUUUUCAUUACUGUUACUAUUAGUAAUAAUCCUUUUAAAUCUCUGAAGUAAAAGAAUCUGCAAAACUGAAUUAGUAGAAACUAAAAGAUUACCACCUAUUUGCUAUACCAUGGCUGCGUGAGAGUUCAUAUCAUGUAUCUAUUGAAUAAAUUGUGAUCAAAGUUGGCUGCUUUGUAUUAAUUGGUUGUGCUGUGGUUGGAACAAUUUAAGACAGUUGGCAUUUUUAAAAUUUCCAUAAGGGUAUGUGUCUUCAUUGAAUUUUGUGCAUAAUAUUUGUGGUUUCUUACUGCAUAAAUAUUCAGAAUAAGAAUUUGAAUUGAAGGAAAUUUUCAACUUUUAUAUGGACAUGCUAUCAUGUUCCAGUACCUGUCUGGAAUCUAAAUUGAUUUGGAUGCUGCUGAACAGAUCCAACAGAACACAACUGUAA
rnacentral:misc_RNA from 1 species